GAAUCAGAUUCAGACCUUGACUCGUAUGUUAAACUUGGUUCUCUUUUACUUCAUCGGUAUAGUGAUCUUUAAAAAUUCUGACUUCGUCCUCCCCAAUGAAUGUGUAAAAUGGUUCUGCAAAUGUGAAACUCAAGAAAAUAAUGUGUUGGCAGUGGGGCAGCAAGUCAAGACUUCUUGACCACCCAAUGAUGUUACUUGAGAUUGUCUACACAAAAAUAUAUACAGAAAUUGGAAGAUUAGGAUAAAAUUGUUGGAGCAAAUUCUCUCUGCCUAGCAUUAUAGGAUGAUUUUUCUCUAUUUGUAUUUGGAUAUGUAAGAUUUGGUGUAUGAUUUUAUUAUAGUGGAAAUUAGUAAUGGAGUAAUGAGGGCAGGAUCAUGAAUGAGGCUCUGCUUUGGGUGCCUUUUUAGUUCUUAUGUUCCAUAACAAUUUCUUUUGCUUUCUUAGCUGCCUCUGAAAUUUAAUCAAGAAAUUCAGCAAUUUUUUGACUGUUGAAUUUUGUUCUGUUUCUUUGGGUAUGUAGUUAGGUAUUCCAUACUGGAAUUGCUUGUCUUUAAAAUAUUUACUACCCUUGAAUUAGUAUUUAAUAAACUUCUUAUUUUAUUGCAGCGGCAAUAGCAAGCCCG
rnacentral:misc_RNA from 1 species